rnacentral:misc_RNA from 1 species
AAGUCGUAACAAGGUUUCCGUAGGUGAACCUGCGGAAGGAUCAUUAACACGUAUCCACGUAUAUACAUCUCUGCGAACUUAUUUUUGUUUUUAUAAGUUGGUUAGCUAGCGUAGCAAUGGAGGUAGAUGUUUACUAUGUCACAAAAAGCCAAUGGGGAGGGUUGAUCGUCACAUCUUCUUUCCCUGCGGUUUUUUUUGUGUUCUACCUGCCUAUCCAAAAAUGAAGUGGCGGUUGAUCCGGCACUUGCGUUUUUGGGUAUUCUGGCUCAUAUGACUUGAAUCAUAGUAGUUUAUCUAUUCACCUUUUUAUUAAUAUGUAAGAAUUUGUGAUGGCUGCAGAUUGUGAGGUUUAACGACUUCACUCUCGCGGCUCACGUUAAAAAAACACUAUACAACUCUUAGCAACGGAUAUCUCGGUUCU